AAUAACAACAAUACGUCCGCCUCAGAUGUUUUUUGCUUAAGGUGUUAUGUCAACUUAUUGACAUACAUAGCUAGCUAUUUACUUAGUUGUAUAACUACAACCUGUAUUUUCGUUGGUGGACAGGACCCAUACAAUAAGGGUGCUAUAUGGUGUGAAAAACUGACUUUAUUUUAGAUUAAUUUGUAGCUAUGUUUGAUAGCUAAUCUGGCUAGCAAACUAAACUAACAUUAGCAAACCGACGCGCCUGUCUCAACGGUCCCAGAACUCGCACAGUGCUGAACCAGAGAUGAAGAUGUUCUCAGUCUCCCACAAGACGGCCUUCGUGGUCGACCGCUGCCCUUAAAUGGCAGAGUCCAGUUAGCAGCAGGUGGAGUGUGACAUGCUGACCAAGAGACGUGGCCAGGGCAUGAUCCCGCUGGCCCCAGUGGCCAAGUCCCUGUGGACCUGCACUGUGGAGUACUGCUGCAUACUCUAUGACGUUUACCCCCCUCAAGAAAAUAGUGAGUCCCUCCCUCCAUCCCUUAGCCUGGUGGUCCAGUCUGUUUUAGCCCAGGUCAGAACAGAGUCUAGUCUGUUUGUGCUUUGGCCAACUUCUCUCUGUGUUCAUUCAUAUUCCAAGUUGGCCACAACACAUUACAAUGCUUCAGUGGUUAUGUUUUAGGUCAACUACAUUCUGAGUGUUUCAGAGUUCCACAUUCUGAACAGCUGGAGGCAAGAGGACCAAAACACUCAUGAGGUAAUGUAUUUCCCAGUUCGAGAGACAGAUACUUAUUUAUCAACAGGGCAACAAUUGACCCUUCGCUAAACCCUGCCCUCCUUGGUAACUGUUACUAACUCAGGCAAGUUUAGCCUUUUAUCUUCCAGAGAACAUGGAGAAACGCAUUGUAAUAACACUAAGAUAACUCCCAAAAGAGUUACUUAGUCAGUUUGAGACAACCAUCACUUAUAUCAGAUAGGAGCAGAUAAAAGGGCCUUCAAUAUGCUUUUGUAGGUUAUAUUCACUAAAUAAAAAUAACGCAGGAGCGCAACACAACAAGCAGGAGGACUGGGAUAGAAGCAAAAGCCAACCGGGCCCAGUGUAAGAGGGAGAAACCCCACCAGCUGACCAUCGAGGCAGAGGCAGAUGAAAUAAAGGAGCAAUGUUGUUCCUGUACUCCACGCUCCACUGGUUACUGCUCGCAUGUUGUCGGGCUGAUCCACACCCUGGACCUCUGGAGAGCCCAAGAUGAAAUGUCCACCACAAGCUUGCCACAACAGUGGCAUAAGCCAAGAGGCAAGAAGAUUGAUGCCAAGCCUAUUACAGCGGUCGUGGUGGAAAAGGAAAAUGUGAGUUGGAAGAGAAGACCAGUCUAGUGCAGUUACAACUUUGACAGGACAGUGUCAGAAGUAACAGAUGGAAGAUUUACAUUGACUGAAAAAUGUCAGGCACACCUAUGAGCUACAUUGCUGACAGGCCCCCAUUAGAAGUAACAGUAGGUGAGGAGGAGUACCCGAUAGGCAGUGGCUUGAGCUACCAGGUAAAGCAAUUCAGAAAACUUUUUAGAUCAAUAAUAUAUUGUUUUUUAAUAAAUACAAUUAAUAGAAACAAGCAUAGUCACUGAUAACAAUACUAAUGCAUUGGAUUACAAAGAAGAGUUGCCCUUUCCAGGUGCACCCUAUGCUUCACUAUUUUCUUUGUCAUCUCGACAUCUGGUUCAUUUUGUAGGUUGGACUUUGCAAAGGGAGGAAUGUUCAAAUCUAAGACCAAUUUCCUCCACAUCUUUCUCAAUGAGAAACUCCUUGUCUGCCAUGAGCCCAUCAUCUCUCUUUAAGCUCCCACUAUUGGAGAACACAGAGCCACCACCAUCCUCCUCGAACCCAACUGUCUGUAGCAGAGGCACUGGAAAAAGAGAAGACAGCAGAGCGACAACAACACCUGGCAUGGCGUCUGCAAUUCUGUGCUUCAAACUUUGUGGCAACAGUUUGGGGAAGGCCCUUUCCUGUUUCAGCAUGAUAAUGCCCCCGUGCACAAAGUGAGGU